UUAACUAUUAUAUAGUACUCAGACAUCACUAAACAAAAGAGUUUGGGUCCUCUGGCAGGCGCGGUCAGCGUGAGCCGACGCCCGAAGGCGGCCUGCCAAAGCAACAAAGGUAUGUAUACACGGUUUGGGAAUAGAACCCAUCUCGAAAAACGGGGCAUUCUUUAAUGAUCCUUCCGCAGGUUCACCUACGGAAA
rnacentral:misc_RNA from 1 species